rnacentral:rRNA from 1 species
CUGGGUCGUCGUCGUCGUCAUGGACCGGCUGCUGCGGCGGUGGCGACGGCCGCCGCCGCUCCUCCCCCUGCGGUCGCUGUUCGACGAGUAGUAGUAGUGCGGGUGCGCGCGCGCCCGCAGCGUCCGGAUGAUGGAGUCGGCCUACCCGGUCUGCGACGCGGAGCAGGCGGGCGGGCACGAGACCCAGCAGCAGCUCCGGCCGUCCGGGUGGGGCCUCCGGCGGGAGCGCGACGCGGCGUGGCGGCAGUACGUGGCGAUGCAGCCGACGACGCUGCGGGAGUUGCGGAGGCGGAGGCGGCGGCGGCUGAAGGCGGGCGUGGUCGAGUUGCGGCCGGAGCUCCAGCAGCUCUUGGUGGCGGAGCUGCCGCAGCAGAUGAAGCGGCUGCUCCUCCCGCAGAUGAGGGAGGGCGAGAAGCUGGCGGAGGCGGUGUAGUCCUCCAAGCCGUGUACCGGCCAAGGCUGCUAGAGGCUCCCGCCGGUGCUGCAGCACGAGCUUCCCGGGCACACGUUCGUCUCGGUCCAACAACCCACCGUGUGGUCACCCCCACGGUUGUUCGAGGUCUCCAAAGUACAGCGGUACAGCCCGAAGCGCAAGUUGUCGUGGUACGAGACCCUAGGGUCCGACUCCAGGGUAGCCCGGACCUUGAGGUAGGCCGUGGGCCUUUGCCACCUCGUCCCGAAGGUUCCUUGGUGCAAACACCUCGUCAAUCACCUCCUACUCUCGGUCUACCUCCCGUAUGGGCGUCUGACGAGGGUUCAUUACUUGACCGUACACGGUAAACCUAGACUCUCGGGCCAGAUAGGGUUCCCCACCGCCAGGCGCCGCUUGGACCUACACUAAUAGGGAGACUUUAUUUAUCACAGUAGUCGUCGAGACAAGUAGUUUCGUGAUUGAGCAAACUGUCCGUAAAUGUAUCGCCAACUCGGAACUUCUAACCCGAGUUGUCCACGUCUCCGUAAGGUCCGACUGAAUGGAAACUCGUCGCCGCCGCCGCCGAGAACCGUUCUGCAACGAUGUUACAUCAAAAGCGUCAUGCUGAAAACUCUUUAUAAAACAUCCUACCUCUCUUGACCACCCCGUUGAGUUGAGAGACGCACAUUUACAUUUACAACAGCGCUAAACAUAAGUAAACAACUCAACGUUUUCGGUUUUCCACCUUAUAUAUACGUUCUAAACUUAUAGAAAGUCAACAACGUGUACCAGAACCAUCUACAAGUCACGUUUCCAAAUUUC